CGAGAAGACCCUAUGGAGCUUUAGACACCAAAGCAGAUCAUGUUAAGCACCCCUUGACAAAGGACUAAACCAGAUGACCCCUGCCCUAAUGUCUUUGGUUGGGGCGACCUAGG
rnacentral:rRNA from 1 species